rnacentral:misc_RNA from 1 species
CUGAGCACGGUGACUUCGCGCGGUUGUUUCUCUCCGGUGACAGCGCCGGUGCGAACAUAGCUUAUAACCUAGCGAUGCGUGCCGGCACCAGUAUAAAGAUUGAAGGGCUGGCUUUAGUGCACCCCUACUUCUGGGGUAGCGAGCCGUUGGAGACGGAGACAGUGGACCCGGCGGAUAGGGAGUUUGCGGAGGGGAUUUGGAG